AGAGAGUCGAUGGAGGUUAUGGGGUCAGAGGUGAAGCUCACUGUGCUAGGGAGAGACAUGUGAGGACAGAGUGAGCAGGUAGGGGACAGAGGCGAUAGAGAUGGGGACAGAGGUGACAGACAUGGGGACAGAGGUGGCAGAGGUGGGGACAGAGGUGAUAGAGAUGGGGACAGAAGUGAUAGACAUGGGGACAGAGGUGGCAGAGAUGAGGGGACAGAGGUGACAGAGGUGGUGACAGAGGUGAUAGACAUGGGGACAGAGGUGGCAGAGAUUAGAGGACAGAGGAGAUAGAGGUGGGGACAGAGGUGAUAGACAUGGGGACAGAGGUGAUAGACAUGGGGACAGAGGUGGCAGAGAUGAGGGGACAGAGGUGACAGAGGUGGGGACAGAGGUGAUAGACAUGGGGACAGAGGUGGCAGAGAUGAGAGGACAGAGGAGAUUGAGGUGGGGACAGAGGUGAUAGACAUGGGGACAGAGGUGAUAGACAUGGGGACAGAGGUGGCAGAGAUGAGGGGACAGAGGUGGCAGAGGUGGGGACAGAGGUGAUAGAGAUGGGGACAGAAGUGACAGAGGUGGGGACAGAGGUGAUAGACAUGGAGACAGAGGUGAUAGACAUGGGGACAGGUGGCAGAGAUGAGGGGACAGAGGUGACAGAGGUGGGGACAGAGGUG